CAAGAAAUAGUUUAAUUAAAAUAUUAAUUUUGGAGAUUAAAGAUGGAUAGUAUAUUUUUUCUUGA
rnacentral:tRNA from 1 species